rnacentral:rRNA from 1 species
AGCUCCAAUAGCGUAUAUUAAAGUUGUUGCGGUUAAAAAGCUCGUAGUUGGAUUUCUGUUGAGGACGACCGGUCCGCACUAUGUGCGUGUAUCUGGUUCGGCCUUGGCAUCCUUCUGGGGAACGGUGCUGCGCUUGAUUGCGUGGUCCGGUAUUCAGAACUUUUACUUUGAGGAAAUUAGAGUGUUUACGGCAGGCAUACGCCUUGAAUACAUUAGCAUGGAAUAAUAUUAUAGGACUUUCGGUCUAUUUUGUUGGUUUCUAGAUUGAAAGUAAUGAUUAAUAGGGAUAAUUGGGGGCAUUCGUAUUAACACGUCAGAGGUGAAAUUCUUGGAUUGUGUUACGACGAACUACUGCGAAAGCAUUUGCCAAGGAUGUUUUCAUUGAUCAAGAACG